rnacentral:rRNA from 1 species
UACGGGGGGGGCAAGCGUUGUUCGGAAUUAUUGGGCGUAAAGAGCUCGUAGGUGGCCUGUCGCGUCGGCUGUGAAAACUCGGGGCUCAACUCCGAGCUUGCAGUCGAUACGGGCAGGCUAGAGUUCGGCAGGGGAGACUGGAAUUCCUGGUGUAGCGGUGAAAUGCGCAGAUAUCAGGAGGAACACCGGUGGCGAAGGCGGGUCUCUGGGCCGAUACUGACACUGAGGAGCGAAAGCGUGGGGAGCGAACAGG